GAAAGCCCAGUAGACGAAACGGCACUCUCUCAGUUCAGGAUCCUGAGUACGGCGGGACACGUGAAACCCCGUCGGAAGCAGCGAGGACCAUCUCGCAAGGCUAAAUACUCCCUAGUGACCGAUAGUGAACCAGUACCGUGAGGGAAAGGUGAAAAGCACCCCGGGAGGGGAGUGAAAUAGUUCCUGAAACCAUGUGCCUACAA
rnacentral:rRNA from 1 species